rnacentral:rRNA from 1 species
UACGGAGGGUGCGAGCGUUGGCCGGAAUCACUGGGCGUAAAGGGCGCGUAGGCGGCCUGGUAAGUAGGGGGUGAAAUCCUGCGGCUUAACCGCAGGGCUGCCUUCUAAACUGUCGGGCUAGAGCACGGUAGAGGCAGAUGGAAUUCACGGUGUAGCGGUGGAAUGCGUAGAGAUCGGGAAGAACAUCAGUGGCGAAGGCGGUCUGCUGGGCCGUUGCUGACGCUGAGGCGCGACAGCGUGGGGAGCAAACAGG